UGGGGAAUUUUGGACAAUGGGCGCAAGCCUGAUCCAGCCAUGCCGCGUGCGGGAAGAAGGCCUUCGGGUUGUAAACCGCUUUGUCAGGGAAGAAAUCUUCUGAGUUAAUACCUCGGGAGGAUGACGGUACCUGAAGAAUAAGCACCGGCUAACUACGUGCCAGCAGCCGCGGUAAUACGUAGGGUGCAAGCGUUAAUCGGAAUUACUGGGCGUAAAGCGUGCGCAGGCGGUUUUGUAAGACAGAGGUGAAAUCCCCGGGCUCAACCUGGGAACUGCCUUUGUGACUGCAAGGCUUGAGUGCGGCAGAGGGGGAUGGAAUUCCGCGUGUAGCAGUGAAAUGCGUAGAUAUGCGGAGGAACACCGAUGGCGAAGGCAAUCCCCUGGGCCUGCACUGACGCUCAUGCACGAAAAGCGUGGGGAGCAAAACAGGAUUAGAUACCCUGGUAGUCCACGCCCUAAAACGAUGUCAACUGGUUGUU
rnacentral:rRNA from 1 species